GAUGAACGCUGGCGGCGUGCUUAACACAUGCAAGUCGAACGGUGAAGCCAAGCUUGCUUGGUGGAUCAGUGGCGAACGGGUGAGUAACACGUGAGCAACCUGCCCUGGACUCUGGGAUAAGCGCUGGAAACGGCGUCUAAUACUGGAUAUGAGCCUCUAUCGCAUGGUGGGGGUUGGAAAGAUUUUUCGGUCUGGGAUGGGCUCGCGGCCUAUCAGCUUGUUGGUGAGGUAAUGGCUCACCAAGGCGUCGACGGGUAGCCGGCCUGGGAGGGUGACCGGCCACACUGGGACUGAGACACGGCCCAGACUCCUACGGGAGGCAGCAGUGGGGAAUAUUGCACAAUGGGCGGAAGCCUGAUGCAGCAACGCCGCGUGAGGGAUGACGGCCUUCGGGUUGUAAACCUCUUUUAGCAGGGAAGAAGCGAGAGUGACGGUACCUGCAGAAAAAGCGCCGGCUAACUACGUGCCAGCAGCCGCCGUAAAAC
rnacentral:rRNA from 1 species